rnacentral:rRNA from 1 species
ACCCUAUUCAUUGCGGGUUGGUUAUUUGUCAGUACGAGUUUAGCUUAUGACGUGUUUGGAAGUCCUAGGCCAAACGAGUAUUUCACAAAAAGCCGACAAGGAAUUCCGUUAAUAACCGACUGUUUUGAUUCUUUAGAACAACUCGAUGAAUUUAGUAGAUCCUUUUUGGAGGCCCUCAAUAACCAUAGAUCGAACCUAUCCUAUUUUUAUAGUGCGAUGGCUGGCUAUUCACGGACUAGUUGGACCUACAGUUUUUUCUUGGGAUCAAUAUCAGCAAUGCAGUUCAUCCAACGAUAA